CGGCCCGAGCGGGUUUGGGAGCGCGGGAAGGCUCGGAGCCGCCGGAGCCAGAUCGGGGCACCGGGAUCAGGGACGCAGUCGGGAGCAAAGGGAGUUCUAAUCAGCGCGUGCGGCAGCGCUCCGCCCUCCGGUCGCCGACCUGUGCCGCGGAGCCGCGCUCCGCUCCCGCCGGGGCUUGAGAAAAGUGCAGAGCAAGCAGAAUGGACAACAAUAACGUUUGGAUACAGAGAGGACAGUGCAUUAAGAAAAAGUUUUGGCCUGAAACUCUUGGACGCAUCAGCUUUUAAUGUUUUCCCAGUAAAAGAGAUUGUGUUUAAAUAUUUUGUAGCAGAAGAUGAUUAGCCCUCAAACUUAAUUUGCUAGUAAGAUGGAAAGUCUGAUAACUGAAAACAAUGUGACAUCAGCCCUGAUGUCUGUUCUGUAAAAGAUGAUGACAGGAAAAGCCUUUACCGAAAUGCACACUUUACAUCUGUAGACAUCAGUGCUGCACUAUGACAGUAGCUUAUGCAGAAUUGACUCAUCAUUGUCCCAACAUCAUCUGGACAGAUAUGCAAGAAAAUGAUUUUUACCUUACACUUCCCAAGAGAGAAAUCCUGUCUUGAAAAAUCAUUUCAAGUGCUUCAGGGCUUCCGGUGGGAUAAUGGAAACCAGAAGUGCUGUGAUAUCACUGGCAUUUUCUUCUCACCUCCCCUGUGAAAUCCCCAAAUCUGCUGUUAGAGCAACCUGAGAAGCAGAGCUAAAUAGAAAGUGGUUUUCUCAAAUCAUUCAGGUUACAAGCAGAUGCACAUCCCUGUGAGGCCUUCCUUCCAUUUAGUAAUUUCUCAAGGCUCUGAAGGGGAGUGAGGAUUAAGAGCCAACUUUUUGUUACCUAAAUCAUGCACAGAGAGGAAAAAUAUGAAGAAUGCUAAAAGGUGGAAGGAUGUGCUCGCUACAGCAGUUCCUCUGGCAUAUAGGAUUUAGAGCAGAUAAUUUCAUAACACCGAAAGGUCAUGCAAAUACCAGUCUGGAAGAGAUAUGGAGAGACCUAACUUUGUAGAAGAUGAGUCUGAAGCAGGCAUGUAAUAUAUUGUCCUUUGUUCACCGCUGGGAAACAGGUGUUCCUUGAAGAUCGCCGGGCGAGGAAGGAGGCGGCUUCCCGAGGGUCGGCGGGCGAUGCCGGCGGGCGGCCGCAGCCGGGGCGGGGGACCCGGUGCUGCCGGGGUCACAACUUUGCCGGGGCUGGCGUUGGCUCGAUGGGCUCCGCGGGCAGCGGCGCCCCCGCCCGCCCCGCCGCCCCCCCCCCGCCGCCGCCGCCUGGAAAAAUGCAGUGUGCCAUUUUACACCCGCCUCUGGAGCACACAGGACCAAAGUCUAGCGCUGGUUUUCGGUGACACUGCAAAACUACGGCUCGCCCCGCGCAACCCCACGCCUCAUCCUCCCCUCGGAGAGAGCAGCUGCCUCUUGAGAAUUAAUAA